rnacentral:rRNA from 1 species
AGUGAACGCUGGCGGCGUGCCUAAUACAUGCAAGUCGAACGAAGUGGCGCACGGGUGAGUAAUAUAUAGUUAAUCUGCCCUCCACAGAGGAACAACAGUUGGAAACAACUGCUACUACCUCAUAGUGUAGGCGGAGCCUAUAUCGUAUCAGCUAGUUGGUAAGGUAAUGGCUUACCAAGGCUAUGACGCGUAACUGGUCUGAGAGGAUGAUCAGUAACAUUGGAACUGAGGCACGGUCCAAACUCCUACGGGAGGCAGCAGUAAGGAAUAUUGCGCAAUGGGGGAAAACCUGACGCAGCAACGCCGCGUGGAGGAUGACACGUGUCGGAGCGUAAACUCCUUUUAUCAGGAAAGCGGUACCUGAUGAAUAAGCACCGGCUAACUCCGUGCCAGCAGCCGCGGUAAUUC